rnacentral:snRNA from 1 species
GAGAUGAGAGGAUCUGGCUGUGAUCCCCUGAUCCUCUGGUGGAAUUCGGAUGCUCUGGCUGGGCAGUGUCCCCUUUCUCCCUCACUGCCCCUAGGCAACCUUCCCAAAACUGCACAGUCAGUAGGUAUAAGAGGACGGCCUUUGCCCAGUAGAGAUGGAUUGAGCAUCCUUCAGUUGAAGGUACACAAGUAUGUAUAACCCCCACCCCCAACUAGAACUGAACUAGCAAGCUCUCACAAUAUCAAUCCGGUGCCUGUAGCAGUCUAUUGAU